rnacentral:piRNA from 1 species
UGUGAUUUAAAACAGGUGGGUUAUCA